AUAAUAGCCCUUUUGGUUAUUCUGUUUCUGUUUUUGAAUUUAUCAUCCAAAAAAAGUUCAAGUAAAUUAGCUAUCCAAGAUUUUCCUGGACAGAAAACAUGCAUGCCCACGCCACAGAGCCUCGGGGAACCCACGGAGUGCUGGUGGGAGGAGAUCAACAGGGCUGGCAUGGAAUGGUAAGGGCCAGUCCCUGCACUGCACUGGGGCUGGGAACAUCUCUGCAUAUCCCUCCUCCUGGGGGCUGCUAGACUCUCAAGGAAUAUCAGUAACCAAAGCCUGGGCAAAUCCCACCCCAAACCUCACCACUGCAUGCUCUGGGUGGAGCAGGGCUGCUGCUGAGCGGACUACAUGACAGGACAAAAACCUGGGAUGGGGAGUGUCU
rnacentral:lncRNA from 1 species